ensembl:lncRNA
CUGGAUACUAGCUUAAUACCACUGUUGCUGGAGAAACAACCAAGGACUGUUAGUGUGACUUUCAGCACAAAGCAAGGUAUGUGCACAAAGACAAAUGUGCCUAGGUAGCCAUGUGUGAAGACAUGAGUUUUCCAGCAAGAUGAAGAAGAAAGCUCAGGAAGAAGUGCCAUCUAGAGGAACCUUGACAGACUUAAAAACGGGACCCACAUGAAUUGAUUGAAAUUCAACAAGAUCAAGCACAAGGAGGAGGAAUGCGUCAGUGAGAAACAAGCCCUGUUGAAGUGUGGUGCUACAGUUCACUUUGAGGAUGAAGGUCUCUGUGUCUUUGUCCCUCUGUCUUCAAUGUGAAGGACAUGCAAUGUGCAGCUAUUUGUUACUGGGAGGCACAGUGAAGUCAUAACCGGCUCUCUGAUACAGAUCACAAGGGAAGUGGCAGACUGUUGCUUAAUUUCAUCAUGGAACUGACACAAAACUUGUCAAGUUCACUGGCUGAGGAAAAAUCAGUGACAACUGUUGGUCUGGCAAUAAAUCCCACUCAGCUUGGGCCUUGCACAAUGUAGUCUCCUCAACAAACCCAGGGUACCGCGCAGACACACAUCCUUGUGUUUCACCAGUAAGGGCACGUGAAUAAAUCUACCUAGAGAGAAAACUGAACAUCCAGACUGGUCUUCCGUAACAGCUGCGAAAGAAGAAACAGUUCUAAACUAACUUCUUCAAGAGCAUACAAGGCUUUCCUUUUGCUUCAGAGAAAAGAUAAAAAUGAAGCAAUGAUUUGGAAAACCCACGGCCCUUGUCAUCAGACUUCAAGCUGCAGUGUUUCCAGUUUGUGUAUUGCUAUCUUUCUCAUCAAAAUCAACACUGAGAUUGAACUUGAGUCUUGAAAUCUAGUAUCUGUGGAAAUGUAACUAAUAAUUGACUUCAUUCCUUCAUCCUUCGUAACUCGGACAGUAUUGAUUAUCAAGUUUUUAAUGUAUCCUAAAUACUAUCAAUGCAAUCUUAAUGCUACUGAAAGGGAGUAUUCAUGCAGAAUAACUGUGCAGAUUUUUUAUCCGGGUUGAAACUUUUACUUUGUGUUUUUGUUUUAAACACUAUGGGUAGUCUCUCAAGGUGGGUCUACUAAGCUGCAUCCCUAGCAGCUUCUCAGAUUUAUGUUAUCUAGUAAAUCCUUAAGUUAUACUGCUGAAUUAUGACAUUUCCUUGAAAAAUAAUAAUUAAAAAAAAC